GGGAAUGUAGCUUAGUGGUAGAGUGCUUGCCUAGCACACAUAAGGCCCUGGGUUCAAUUCCUAGUCCUG
rnacentral:tRNA from 1 species